AGUGGCGGACGGGUGAGUAACGCGUGAGAAUCUGCCUUGGGGUCGGGGACAACCACUGGAAACGGUGGCUAAUACCGGAUAAGCCGAUUGGUGAAAGAUUUAUUGCCCGAAGAGGAGCUCGCGUCUGAUUAGCUAGUUGGUGAGGUAAGAGCUCACCAAGGCAGCGAUCAGUAGCUGGUCUGAGAGGACGAUCAGCCACACUGGGACCGAGACACUGCCCAGACUCCUACGGGAGGCAGCAGUGGGGAAUUUUCCGCAAUGGGCGAAAGCCUGACGGAGCAAGACCGCGUGAGGGAGGAAGGCUCUUGGGUUGUAAACCUCUUUUCUCAGGGAAGAAGCUCUGACGGUACCUGAGGAAUCAGCCUCGGCUAACUCCGUGCCAGCAGCCGCGGUAAUACGGAGGAGGCAAGCGUUAUCCGGAAUUAUUGGGCGUAAAGCGUCCGCAGGUGGCGAUUCAAGUCUGCUGUCAAAGCACGGGGCUUAACUCCGUAAAGGCAGUGGAAACUGAAUAGCUAGAGUGCCGUAGGGGUAGAGGGAAUUCCCGGUGUAGCGGUGAAAUGCGUAGAGAUCGGGAAGAACAUCGGUGGCGAAAGCGCUCUACUGGACGGCAACUGACACUCAGGGACGAAAGCUAGGGGAGCGAAUGGGAUUAGAUACCCC
rnacentral:rRNA from 1 species